GCCAAAGAGGACACUUGGGAGAGCAGCGAGGGCCAAGGGCUGGCAGGGAGAGGACGGGUGCAGCCGCACCCAUGCUGCUCACCAUCAUCAUGCGGUGCAGGUCGGCCAUCUCGGGCACGCGGGCCUUGCAGAGCAGCACGACAGUGCCUGUGGGGUCCAGGCCCCUCCGGCCCGCGCGGCCGGCCAUCUGCACGUACUCCCCGGGGAGCAGGUCCCGGAAGGCGGAGCCAUCGUGCUUGCGCAUGGAGUCGAACACCACGGUGCGGGCUGGCAUGUUCACACCCAUGGCAAAGGUCUCAGUGGCAAACAGGACCUGGGGAGGGAAGUGAGUCGGCACCCCACGUCCGGCUUCGCUGGGGGCCAGCGCUGCAGCGGGGCCGCAGGUUCACCAACUCCCGGGGCCGAGCGAGCGAGCGAGCGAGCGUUUUCCUCACAUGUUGCCAAUUUCUUUCUUUCUGCCCCCAUAUCCCACUCCGCCCUGCGCUGCAGUGAUUCGGACACGUUCAGCAGGGCUUUUUGUGUGAACACGAUAUGUUACUCAGGAUGCGUCUUGUUCUGUGCACAGGUAAUUUAUAAUCCACGCAAAGGAGUUAAACAUAUCCUUAUUCUUUCCUUUUUCUCUCUCACUCUGAUACUUAAGUGCUGAUCGUUCUCUUAUUUCUUUUUCUCCACACAGUGUCUGAACAUCCACCCAUGUUCCUGUGGUUCUAUCUAUCCAUUGCUGCUUCUGCUUCUUUUUGUUUUUUGGUUUUUUGAAACAGGCUGGCUUCGAACUCAUGUCAGUCCUCCUGCCUCGGCCUCCUGAGUGCUGGGAUCACAGACACACCUGGGGCAGCUGGCGGUCGGAGCCUCGGAGACGCGCCAGGCAGCGCUGCAGGAAGAGGUGGAUCUCACUCUUCUCCGAGCUUGUGGUGAGGUCAAGCGAGGUGAGGCCCGAGGCCUGCUCGUCACAGCGGCCCCGAGAGAAGGCACCUCAGGAAGACGCCUCACCCAAUCCAGUCGGCAAACUCCAGGGCGUUGGGGACAGUGGCGCUCAGGAGGAUGACGGAGACGUGGUCGGGGAGCAUGAUGAACACCUCCUCCCACACGACCCCGCGCUGGGCAAGGUGGGGGACGGUCAGGGCAGCCGAGAGGCGUCCCUCUGUCCCCGAGAAGUGGGCGGGCUCCAUUUGGGGUGGAGGCGUAAGGUCCUCAGGGUGUGCGCAGUCGGGGAGCUGCUGCACUCGUGCCCUAGGGACCCCAGGCGCCUCACCUCGGCGUCAUUGAUGUAGUGAACCUCAUCGAAGAUGACCCACUCCAGGUCCCGGAUGACAUCCGAGCCGCUGUACAGCAUGGAGCUGGGGGGAAGAGCCGCAGGCUGACUCCCACCUCCGCCCUCCUCAGCCAGCACUCCGCCCCAAGCUGAGUGCCCCUUACCGGAGAAUCUCCGUCGUCAUGAUGAGGCAGGAAGCCUCAGGGUGCAGCUGCACGUCCCCCGUGAGCAGCCCCACGUCCCCAAAUGUGUUCCGGAAGUCCCGGAACUUCUGGUUGCUCAGGGCCUUGAUGGGCGAGGUGUAGAUGGUGCUGGGAAGAUAGCAAAAGCAGCCAGUUCCUCCACACACUCAUUGCCAAGUGGCCCCUCAACCCAGCUGAGCCCUCCCACACGCACACCCCAGGGGCUCAGUGCUCCCCUUUCUGACGCCCUUCACAUCCUCCUUCAAAAUAGGACCCCAGAACAAUUCUGCCUCAGCCUCUCCUAGACUUCCCAAGGUCAUCUUUUCCAACCUUCCUCCCGCCAUGGCUGCUCAUUUCUCUCUGGGCCGCCUCAGUCCAUGUCCUGAGCCUUCGUCCACAGGAUGAGGUGGUGAGGUGGGGCAGGAUAAGGCCCAGGAAGGAUGCAGGGGACGGUGGACAGUGGGGCUGGCGAGGGGGGGGGCCUCAGGGGAGGGUGCCUACCGCGUCAUGUGUUUCUGAGCCAGGGCAAUGGCGUAUUCGGCCACCACGGUCUUCCCCGCAGAGGUGUGGGCUGCGACGAACACAGAGUCGUGUUUCUCCAGGUGCAGGAUGGCCUGUUUCUGAAACACGUCUGGCUCAAACGCCCACUGCAGGAGAGAAACCGGUGGGGGCUGAAGGAGGGAGAAGGGUCUUCCCGGGUCCUGCUCCUGGGUGUGAGGGGCAGAAGGCAGGAGCGGGAGAGGAUGGGGGUCAGGGUCUGGGCCACCUGGAAGCUGCUGGCCUCAGGUGGGGAGCAGAGACAAGUGGUGCACAGGGGAGCAGGACGGGGACCCAGGCCGCCCAGGGGUGGGGGAGCCUGAGGACAGGGCCACAGUACCUGGAAGGCUGGGUGGGGAAUGAGGCGGUAGAAGUCACCCACCGGGGAGGUGACGUCCACAGGCACGGCCCACUGCUCCUGCAGCGGAGGCUGGGGAGGCUCCGGCGGGGCUGUGGCAGCUUCCUGGGAGAGCCAGCCGGAGGGCCCCUCGGUUACUGCUCCCCGCCCAAAGGCAGUGCAGCUUCCCCAGCCGCCCCACCCGCCCUCUGCAGCAGGGCCCCUCUCCCUGCCUCUGGCGCCCACAACCACCGACCCUCAACACCAGGUCCUCCAAACUGCUCGCUCGAGCCAAGGGAGCCCUGCAGGGAGAGGCGGAAGCAGCGUCCCCUCUGGGUCCUUCUGUCUGUCCCACUGCUUCAUUCUCCUCCACGUCGCCCCCACCCAAAUCCAGCGGCUCCAGCAGGCAGCUGAGGCUGAGUAACCCGGGUGCGGGGGCUGGGCGAUCUGCAGACAGGGCAGAGGGCCCACCUUGUCACGGCCGUCUCUGCAGGAGAAGGCUCCACCUCAAGCUCUCAGAAACUCACCCUGGGGGGCAAAGUCCACACCCUUCUUGAAGCCAGGUGGGACAGUGAGGAGGUCUGGAGAGGGAGGACAGGGAGACGGAGUCAGGGCCGCUGCGUUACAGGACACAGACAGCACCGCAGACACGGCGACCAAAGUCUACUGUGCCGCUGCCGCUGCAGCUGACAGUGGUGCAGACAGCUGGGAAAGAGCACUCUCCUUUGUGGGGCCGGAGCUCUCCUAACGUGCAGGCACACGGAAGGCCCAGUCACGGACCCUAACUCACCUUUCUCGAAGUCUAGCUCCUCCUCAUGCUCCUCCCGAGAGCUCAGGUCCAUGAGGCUGGGCUCGUCCAUCCCACCUGGGGAGAGGGCGGACAGACAGUGCUUCAUGAGACCACCGCAAAACAGGAGGGGCAGCAAACCCUUCCCCGGGACUGGGGGCCUGUCUCCUGCCACCCUAUCCCCACAAGCCACCUGGCCAGAAAGGAUACUGUGUGGGAUUCCCCCACAGAGACUGGGAGACUGGCCCUGGAGGCCGGCGGAGAGACAAGGAGGUCGUGGCCGACAGGUUCGUGUUCUCCAGCAGGACCUGAACGGGGGACGACAGCCAGCCACGCUGAGCUUGCCGCUGACCUCCACCCCCCAC
ensembl:lncRNA